rnacentral:rRNA from 1 species
UACGAAGGGGGCUAGCGUUGCUCGCAAUCACUGGGCGUAAAGGGUGCGUAGGCGGGUCUUUAAGUCAGGGGUGAAAUCCUGGAGCUCAACUCCAGAACUGCCUUUGAUACUGAGGAUCUUGAGUUCGGGAGAGGUGAGUGGAACUGCGAGUGUAGAGGUGAAAUUCGUAGAUAUUCGCAAGAACACCAGUGGCGAAGGCGGCUCACUGGCCCGAUACUGACGCUGAGGCACGAAAGCGUGGGGAGCAAACAGG